GAUGAAGAACGCAGCGAAAUGCGAUAAGUAGUGUGAAUUGCAGAAUUCAGUGAAUCAUCGAAUCUUUGAACGCACAUUGCGCCCCUUGGUAUCCCGAGGGGCAUGCCUGUUCGAGCGUCAUUUCACCACUCAAGCCUGGCUUGGUGUUGGGCGACGUCCUCUUUGGGACGCGCCUCGAAACGCUCGGCGGCGUGGCACCGGCUUUAAGCGUAGCAGAAUCUUUCGCUUUGGAAGUCGGGGCCCCGUCUGCCGGAAGACCUGCUCGCAAGGUUGACCUCGGAUCAGGCAGGGAUACACGCUGAACUUAAGCAUAUCAAUAAGCGGAGGA
rnacentral:misc_RNA from 1 species